AGACGCGUGACCUUCAUCCGUGAAUAUUCUCUACUUGUGUUAGGGGACAACACAACCUUUCUAUCGACAACUUGUCUCGUUGCGUCAUUCCACAUCGUUCUCCAACCUCGUCCUUUCUCUGUGUGUAUACAUAUAUAUGAAAUGGAACGGAAAGCUAGUGGAAAGUCGAAAUACAUAGAUUAAAUUUGAAACUUGUGCGUUUCAAUUUUUAAUUUCUCAUGGCAAAAGGUUUAAAACGAGUUUGUCUUUACAAUUGGAUCUUAAUGGAGACGAUUGUUCGAAAGUAAGAUUGUUGGAAAGGUGAGGAAAGAGCUCGAUUCGAUAAACACGGCGGCUUUUUAAACCGUUAAUAACAUAAUUGGAUACGAUACAAUGGUCGAACGAGGAAUAUUAUCAACCUUUGUGCGGCCAAUUAACGAAGAUAGAAUUAACACUUUAACGCUUAAAGCGAAUUCUCAUUUAUCUUCGCAAAGAAAACAUUUCACGCUCUGAAAGUUUCAGUUACUCUCCACCAUGCGCAAAAAAGAUUUGUGCAUAUAUUGUUAAAUAAAAAUAAAAAAAAAAGGAAAAAGAGAAA